rnacentral:rRNA from 1 species
GAUGAACGCUGGCGGCGUGCCUAAUACAUGCCAGUCGAGCGAACAGACGAGGAGCUUGCUCCUCUGACGUUAGCGGCGGACGGGUGAGUAACACGUGGAUAACCUACCUAUAAGACUGGGAUAACUUCGGGAAACCGGAGCUAAUACCGGAUAAUAUAUUGAACCGCAUGGUUCAAUAGUGAAAGACGGUUUUGCUGUCACUUAUAGAUGGAUCCGCGCCUCAUUAGCUAGUUGGUAAGGUAACGGCUUACCAAGGCAACGAUGCGUAGCCGACCUGAGAGGGUGAUCGGCCACACUGGAACUGAGACACGGUCCAGACUCCUACGGGAGGCAGCAGUAGGGAAUCUUCCGCAAUGGGCGAAAGCCUGACGGAGCAACGCCGCGUGAGUGAUGAAGGUCUUCGGAUCGUAAAACUCUGUUAUUAGGGAAGAACAAAUGUGUAAGUAACUAUGCACGUCUUGACGGUACCUAAUCAGAAAGCCACGGCUAACUACGUG